rnacentral:rRNA from 1 species
CGGGUGCGGCGCCGGUCUAAGUUCCUUGGAACAGGACGUCAUAGAGGGUGAGAAUCCCGUUCAUGACCGGCGACCUAGCCCGUGUGAAGCUCCUUCGACGAGUCGAGUUGUUUGGGAAUGCAGCUCUAAAUGGGUGGUAAAUUUCAUCUAAAGCUAAAUACCGGCCAGAGACCGAUAGCGCACAAGUAGAGUGAUCGAAAGAUGAAAAGCACUUUGGAAAGAGAGUUAAAAAGUACGUGAAAUUGUUGAAAGGGAAGCGCUUGCGACCAGACUUGCUCGCGGGUGAUCAGCCGCCCUUCUGGGCGGUGCACUCGCCCGCGAUCAGGCCAGCAUCGGUUUGGGCGGUCGGAUAAAGGCCCCGGGAAUGUAGCUCCCUCCGGGGAGUGUUAUAGCCUGGGGUGCAAUGUGGCCAGCCUGGACCGAGGACCGCGCUUCGGCUAGGAUGCUGGCGUAAUGGUUGUAAGCGACCCGUCUUGAAACACGGACCAAGGAGUCUAACAUCUAUGCGAGUGUUUGGGUGUCAAACCCAUGCGCGCAAUGAAAGUGAACGGAGGUGGGAACCCUCAAAGGGUGCACCAUCGACCGAUCCUGAUGUCUUCGGAUGGAUUUGAGUAAGAGCAUAGCUGUUGGGACCCGAAAGAUGGUGAACUAUGCCUGAAUAGGGUGAAGCCAGAGGAAACUCUGGUGGAGG